rnacentral:rRNA from 1 species
UCAAGCUACAAAGAGCACAAGGGGAAUGCCUUGGCACCGAGAGCCGAAGAAGGACGUGACUAACUGCGAUAAGCUGCGGGGAGCCGUAAGUAGGCUUUGAUCCGCAGAUUUCCGAAUGGAGCAAUCCGGCAAGAGGAAAGUCUUGUCAUCAUAUACUGAAUACAUAGGUAUAUGAGGGGAACCGCCUGAACUGAAACAUCUAAGUAGGGCGAGGAAGAGAAAUCAACUGAGAUUCCGUAAGUAGUGGCGAGCGAACGCGGAAGAGGCCAAACCGAGAGUAGUAAUACUUUCGGGGUUCGGACAGAAAACGGUAUUGUAAAGGUUUAGUGGAAUGGAAUGGGAAGUCCAACCGAAGAAGGUGAGAGUCCUGUACACGAAAAGCCUGAGCAGCCAUCUGUAUCCAGAGUACCGCCGGACACGUGAAACCCGGUGGGAAUACGGGGGGACCAUCCUCCAAGCCUAAAUACUACUCGGUGACCGAUAGUGAAGAAGUACUGUGAAGGAAAGGUGAAAAGUACCCCUGACGGGGAGUGAAAAAGAACCUGAAACCUUGUGUUUACAAGCACCGAAAGCUCAUCAAAGAGCGAUCGGGUACCUUUUGUAGAAUGGUCCGGCGAGUGAAUGUAACCGGCGAGGUUAAGCACUUAAGGUGUGAAGCCGCAGCGAGAGCAAGUCUGAAUAGGGCGUAUGAAGUCGGUUGUAUUCGACCCGAAACCGGGUGACCUACCCAUGGUCAGGUUGAAGUAAAGGUAAAACUUUAUGGAGGACCGAACCGACUCCCGUUGAAAUGGUAGCGGAUGAACUGUGGGUAGCGGAGAAAUUCCAAUCGAACCCGGAGAUAGCUGGUUCUCUCCGAAAUAGCUUUAGGGCUAGCCUUGAAAUAGAUUACCGGAGGUAAAGCACUGAAUUGGCUAGGGGCCGAGAGGUUACUGAACCUUAUCAAACUAAGAAUGCCGGAUAAUCGUUUUUCAGGAGUCAGACAGUGGGAGAUAAGUUUCAUUGUCAAAAGGGAAACAGCCCAGACCCACAGCUAAGGUCCCCAAGUAUAGUUAAGUGGAAAAGGAUGUGGAAUUGCACAGACAACCAGGAUGUUGGCUUAGAAGCAGCCACUCAUUAAAAGAGUGCGUAAUAGCUCACUGGUCGAGUGACUCUGCGCCGAAAAUUCAACGGGGCUAAAAUUCAUACCGAAGCUUGGGCUUGACAGAAAUGUCAGGGGUAGGGGAGCGUCGUAUACGAGGUGAAGUCAUAGCGGAAGCGGUGGUGGAUUGUAUACGAGUGAGAAUGCCGGAAUGAGUAGCGAGAAUUAUGUGAGAAUCAUAAUGGCCGAAAGUCUAAGGUUUCCUGAGGAAGGUUCGUCCUCUCAGGGUUAGCCGGGAGCUAAGGUGAGGCGGAAACGCGUAGCCGAUGCACAUACGGUAGAAAUUCCGUAGCCUCCGAAGAUUUAAGCACAGGGACACUUUUGAAGGGCUGAGCCGGGCGUUGGUUGCCCCGGUCGAAAGGGACACGAUUGAGUGGAAGUCAGUUUGGAAAGAGGCGAGAAAAGCUGUGUGUAUAUGAAAGGAGCCCGUACCGCAAACCGACACAGGUAGACAGGAAGAAGAUUCUAAGGCCAGCGGGAGAAGGGUUGUUAAGGAACUCGGCAAGUUGACCCCGUAACUUCGGGAGAAGGGGUGCUUACGAAGGUAAGCCGCAGAGAAUAGGCCCAAGCGACUGUUUAGCAAAAACACAGCUCUAUGCUAAAUCGAAAGAUGACGUAUAUGGGGUGACACCUGCCCGGUGCUGGAAGGUUAAGAGGAGAUGUGAGAGCAUUGAAUUGAAGCCCCAGUAAACGGCGGCCGUAACUAUAACGGUCCUAAGGUAGCGAAAUUCCUUGUCAGGUAAGUUCUGACCC